UACGGGGGGGGCAAGCGUUGUCCGGAAUCACUGGGCGUAAAGGGCGCGUAGGCGGCUCGGUAAGUAGGGGGUGAAAUCCUGCGGCUUAACCGCAGGGCUGCCUUCUAAACUGUCGAGCUUGAGCACGGUAGAGGCAGAUGGAAUUCCCGGUGUAGCGGUGGAAUGCGUAGAGAUCGGGAAGAACAUCAGUGGCGAAGGCGGUCUGCUGGGCCGUUGCUGACGCUGAGGCGCGACAGCGUGGGGGAGCAAACAGG
rnacentral:rRNA from 1 species